GUUCUAGAUGUGUUUUGAAAGCCAGGCCAACGGGAUUUGCUGCCCGUAGCGAGGCCUCUGGGAAAUGUAUGCGGGCGGGAGAGUGCCAUAAUAGAGGUCCACCAUUUACAUUCCCAUCCAGUGCUCUUUUGCACAUUCACACUCAAGGUAGGAAGAAGAUGACCUUUAGAUUUUUAGGAUUCUUGUCCUCAGCAAGAGUGUCUGAGGACUGCCUUCGGGGCUGUUUCAAGAUGUGUGACCAGUUUGGUUUAAUGGGAGAGUACCCCUUCUGUGGCCAGUCUCCAUGGCUGAGAGUGGAUUGCCCGACUGCCCAUCUUCCUGGUCCUGAUGCUCAGUAGACAUGCGUGGCCCCGUGGCCAUUCAAAGGAAGUGACCUCAUAAGCGUGCCUUUCAAGCCACACAGGAUGGGUCCUUGUGCGACAUUCAGCCGUCUCUCUGGUUUACACCAAAUUCAACAACUUGUGGCCUGCAGAUACUCAGUAUAAAUAGCUGGAAAAGCCUGACCUUGACAACCUCAUUUCUCAUUCCUUUCUUGUUACAGGUCUUAUGACAUGGUUACAAAGAUCUUCUCCACUUCAAGACCAUGAAUGAAAGGAAUAACUUGGCCUACAGCUUAGCAACUGCCACCGUCAUUAACUGCAAGAAUUAGAUGGUGAAACUGAAGUUCUGCUCUGUGGGAUACGGUAUGAGUGGCACCGUGAACUCAGGGCUGGGUGCCUCCAGGUAAGUUUCUUUUUAACUUUGCCGCUUUCUCCCAGGCACCCAGUCUAAAGGUGAAGGCUCAGUUUUAAAUGGGCAUUCAGAACAGAAUGCCCAUUGGUCAGUACUCCAACAGUGGUAAGCAGCGGAAUGCUAAACAGCAAGCCCACAAACGUUUGCAAACAGUAGCACCAUCUAACAACACGUGGAACAAUAGAUGUGUAUGGCUAGGAAAGGACGCAAAGAAAGAAUAUUCACUCCUGGUCAGUGGUGGUUGCGCCUAUGGAAUUAUUGAUACUCAGAAUUCUGCUGGUGGCUGUACCUCUCAGUACCUCGUCUGUAUGCUGGGGCCAAUUUCUAUCCUCCUAAACAAGUUAAAUGCAUUU